UAGGGAAUAUUGCACAAUGGGCGCAAGCCUGAUGCAGCAACGCCGCGUGUGCGAAGAAGGCCUUCGGGUUGUAAAGCACUUUUCGGGGAGAAGAGGAAGGACGGUAUCCCCGGAAUAAGGUUCGGCUAACUACGUGCCAGCAGCCGCGGUAAAACGUAGGAACCGAGCGUUAUCCGAAUUCACUGGGCGUAAAGAGCGAGCAGGCGGUUGGGCAAGUUGGAUGUGAAAGCUUCCGGCUCAACUGGGAGAGGACGUACAAAACUACCCAACUAGAGGGCGGCAGAGGGAGGUGGAAUUCCCGGUGUAGUGGUGAAAUGCGUAGAUAUCGGGAGGAACACCAGAGGCGAAGGCGGCCUCCUGGGCCGUGCCUGACGCUGAGGAGCGAAAGCUAGGGGAGCGAACGGGAUUAGACACCCCGGUAGUCCUAGCUGUAAACGAUGUAGACUUGGUGUUGGUGGGGUAAAAGCCAUCGGUGCCGGAGCGAACGCGGUAAGUCUACCGCCUGGGGACUACGGCCGCAAGGUUA
rnacentral:rRNA from 1 species